rnacentral:rRNA from 1 species
UAAGGAAUAUUGGACAAUGGGCGGAAGCCUGAUCCAGCCAUCCCGCGUGCAGGAUGAAGGCCCUCCGGGUCGUAAACUGCUUUAGACUGGGAAGAAACCACUUUUCGUGAGAAGUGUUGACGGUACCAGUAGAAUAAGCACCGGCUAACUCCGUG